GACCUCAUAGCUCAAGUGGAUAGAGCUUUCGUUUCCUAAACGACAGAUCCCCGUUCAACUCGGGGUGAGGUCACCA
rnacentral:tRNA from 1 species